rnacentral:rRNA from 1 species
GACGAACGCUGGCGGCGUGCCUAAUACAUGCAAGUCGAACGCAGUGGGGACGGGUGAGUAACACGUGGGUAACCUCCCCAUCAACGGGGAAAACACUUGCAAACAGGUGCUAAACCUAUACUGAUGGAUGGACCCGCGGUGCAUUAGCUAGUUGGUGAGGUAACGGCUCACCAAGGCCACGAGGCAUAGCCGACCUGAGAGGGUGAUCGGCCACACUGGGACUGAGACACGGCCCAGACUCCUACGGGAGGCAGCAGUAGGGAAUCUUCGGCAAUGGACGAAAGUCUGACCGAGCAACGCCGCGUGAGUGAAGAAGGUUUUCGGAUCGUAAAACUCUGUUGUUAGAGAAGCGGUAUCUAACCAGAAAGCCACGGCUAACUACGUGCCAGCAGCCGCGGUAAUUC